CAUGGCUAAGCAGGCAGGUGGGAAGAAUUCUUGCAUUGCACGUGAGAUAGAGCUUCUGCACUAGCCUGCUCAGGACCAACAGAAAAGCUGUGAGAUAUGCCCUGGACGGGGAAGAGGCUGGAGGUAGAAAUGGGUUAGAAGCCAUCUGAAGGCAAUGAGGCUGGAAGAGGAAAAAAACCUUUUGGUGUGAUGGAUUCUUUAGA
rnacentral:lncRNA from 1 species